rnacentral:tRNA from 1 species
GCCUGGCUGGCUUAGUUGGUAGACCUUGUGGCUCUUGAUCUCAAGAUCAUGAGUUCGAGUCUCAGGCUGGGCA